AUUACUCCUACGGGAGGCAGCAGUGGGGAAUUUUGGACAAUGGGGGAAACCCUGAUCCAGCCAUCCCGCGUGUAUGAUGAAGGCCUUCGGGUUGUAAAGUACUUUUGGCAGAGAAGAAAAGGUAUCCCCUAAUACGGGAUACUGCUGACGGUAUCUGCAGAAUAAGCACCGGCUAACUACGUGCCAGCAGCCGCGGUAAUAAU
rnacentral:rRNA from 1 species